GUCCACGCCGUAAACGAUGGAUACUAGCUGUUGGGCGCAAGUUCAGUGGCUAAGCGAAAGUGAUAAGUAUCCCACCUGGGGAGUACGUUCGCAAGAAUGAAACUCAAAGGAAUUGACGGGGCCCGCACAAGCGGUGGAGCAUGUGGUUUAAUUCGAUGAUACGCGAGGAACCUUACCAAGGCUUAAAUGUAGAUUGACAGGACUGGAAACAGUUUUUCUUCGGACAAUUUACAAGGUGCUGCAUGGUUGUCGU
rnacentral:rRNA from 1 species